GACGAAGGGGGCUAGCGUUGUUCGGAAUUACUGGGCGUAAAGCGCGUGUAGGCGGUUGUUCAAGUCGGGUGUGAAAGCCUUGAGCUCAACUCAAGAAAUGCACUCGAUACUGGAUGACUUGAGGACCGGAGAGGAUAGUGGAAUUCCCAGUGUAGUGGUGAAAUACGUAGAGAUUAGGAAGAACACCGGUGGCGAAGGCGGCCCACUGGUCCGGUACUGACGCUGAGGUGCGAAAGCGUGGGGAGCAAACAGG
rnacentral:rRNA from 1 species